rnacentral:tRNA from 1 species
GCAUAUAGGAAUUGUCAGGAACCAAUUGCCCGCAGACUACGAAUCUGGGGGUCGGGAGUUCGAAUCUUCCCCGGUGCGCCA